CAUUCAAUUGUGGAUUGUUGGGUAUGCGGCAACAAUCUUUUCGUUGAAAGAUGGCCCGUACGAAACCCAUAGCUGUCCGGGACAACCGUGAUCCCCAUCUUGGCUCUGCAAGAUGAAAUCAGAUUGGCCAAUCUAUGCAGAGGGGAUCCCCUCUCGGCAACUCCGCAAGUGGGGAAAUUGAGGGUUUUUCUUUACCCCUCGCAUCUUCCACCGGUCCUGCGAGUCCCGAUAUGGAUCCCCGAUUUCAAUAAGGAUCCAUUCAGCGAUGUUUGUCGUCGGCAGAUUGGGAACAAUUUCUUCCACCCGCAUUUCACCGAAUUUGUGGCAAACUGCCGAAAAAAAUUGAAUUUAUGGAAAGAAAAAUAAAGUAUAUUUUUUAAAUGGAAA